rnacentral:lncRNA from 1 species
GGGUUCCAAGUAGGGUAGUGAGAGAAGCUCCUCCUUUUCUCUUGACCCCCCUCUGUCCAUUCCACUUUAUCCUUUUCUUCAUCGUCUUCCAUGUUAUGCCUCUAAUCUCUAGCACUAACCUAUGGCCCACCUAUGCCUCUGUCUGAGGUUUGGAUCUGAUCUGGUUUGGGCUCUUGAGGUUGGGUUUGGCAGUUGAUGUUUUAGACCUUGAGUAAUGGAUCUAGUGUCUCCAUGGCCCCCACCCUCAUCUGGCAUAUUCACUCUCAGCCUUGCUCUUAAAUUGGCCCACCCACUCUCUUAAUGCCUUUCUCCUUCUCAUUCUUGGUUAUAUUUUGAGGUUAUCUGGCAUCUCCUAAUAUACUUUCCUAGAAGGUAUUUUCUUGCUAGUUUAUAGGCAAAAUCCAGUGGCCUACUAGCGAUUCUCAUCUGGCUCAUGUUAGUAGGGGAGAAUGUUGAUGGUUUUCGAUUUGAGCAGUUUGGAUCUGGUUUUGGUGCCUCAGUUUUGAGCUGUGUUUGGUCCAUUAUGGUGUGGCUCUGCUGUGGUGAAGUUUUAAAUUGAUUUAAAUUAAAGUUUUCUUCGGCGGGUCUAAUCAAUUUGACGAUUACCCAAGUUGAUUCCCCUUUGCUGCUUGUUAUUUUCCUUUAGUGGAGUCAAUUUGGUGUUUUAGCAGUUCUGGUGGCCUUAUCAGUUCGUUAUGAUUAUAUGGUUUAUUUCUAUUUUUCGGUUGAUUGGGUUUGUUCUUGAGAGGGGUUCUUGUUCCAAUAAGUUCGAUUUGUUAAUUUUGUUUUGGCCGAUUGAUUGCCUGGAUUGCUAGUCUCGUCUUUGUUGCUUUUCCUUUGUUCAUAUUAACAUGUUCUUAUUCUUAUCAAUUGAUGCUAUUUGUUCAAGGUGUUCAAUGGUCUUUAUGGUGGGGUUGCGGAUGGAGCCCUUCUCAUCGUAACCAUUUUGCUGGUACCUGUUGGGGUAGCAGCAGAUGAUUUUCAUGGCUGGUUUGUUGGCUCACGGUUUCAGUCUGGGACAAUGUGUUAGUGGGUCUCUGUUGGUUAUGGUUUUUUGCAUUGGGCCCCACGUUGCUGAUAAUCUGAAUGUGGUUUCCUUAGCAACAUGUGGAUGUGUUAGUGGGAUUGCUAGUUAUUUCAAUGGGGCCCAUAGGCUUUCAAAUAUCUAAUGCUGCUUCAAAAUUUGAAUUGGUUUCCUUUGGAUCGUAUUGGAUCGUGGGUCUGCCCUUGUGAGCUGUGUUUUCUGUUGAUUGGCUCAUGUUAUUUUGUUUAUUUGGAUAGCUUAUCUAUGGGAUUGAUUUAUGUAACUAGUUUAUUUUAGUUAUUUUCAAUUGCUUAGCCUCAGACCGAAGGAAACGUGUAUUUAGGUUAGGCAUUUGGUUUCCUAGUUUUUUCUAGGUGUUUUAGUCCUCUCGGCAGAAAGAGGACUAUGUUGUGAUCUUUAUUGUAAUAUCUUUAGUUAUUUUGCAAUUUAAUACACAAACAAAUUUAGCAAAAAAAGAAAAAGAAAAAAAAAAGAGAGGAUUUUAAGCACAAGUUCUUUAUUUAAUUACAUGCGAUGUAUAUGUAUAUCUCUAUCCUAGACAUAAAUUAUGUAUUCCAAUGCCAUGCAGAAAAUACAAUCACAUGAUACUAUGAUCAUAUCUAAAUCUAUAAUUCAUCUCUCAAGUUCAUAUAGAUUAUCACGAUAAUUGUUAGCUAGACAAUUAAGCAAUUCAUCACAAAUCAU